GACGAACGCUGGCGGCGUGCUUAACACAUGCCAGUCGAACGAUGAACCCGGAGCUUGCUCUGGGGGAUUAGUGGCGAACGGGUGAGUAGCACGUGAGUAACCUGCCCUGGACUCUGGGAUAAGCGUUGGAAACGACGUCUAAUACCGGAUAGGACCUUGGAUCGCAUGAUCUGGGGUGGAAAGUUUUUUCGGUCUGGGAUGGACUCGCGGCCUAUCAGCUUGUUGGUGAGGUAAUGGCUCACCAAGGCGUCGACGGGUAGCCGGCCUGAGAGGGUGACCGGCCGCAAUGGGACUGAGACAAGGCCCAGACUCCUACGGGAGGCAGCAGUGGGGAAGAUUGCAGAAUGGGCGAAAGACUGAUGCAGCAACGCCGCGUGCGGGAUGACGGCCUUCGGGUUGUAAACAGCUUUUAGUAGGGAAGAAGGGCUUCGGCUGGACGGUACCUGCAGAAAAAGGACCGGCUAACUACGG
rnacentral:rRNA from 1 species